UACUGUAACAGCUGGCUUAAAGCAGAGGGAAUAGGGGGCAAGUUGUAAGCCAGAGAAAGUAGAGGAGAAGGACACUGAUUUUGAGGGUCCUGACUCUAAAGCUAAUAAUGUUCUUCAUUCCAUUAUCCUGAUACUUUUAGCAAAUUAAGCUUCAUAAUGACAAUCUUUUCAUUUAUUUCAGUUGUAUCAAGGAAAGAGAAAUACAGUUUAAUUCCAGGGAAAGGAUUACAGUCAAUACAAUAUAAGGUAUAUUCUUGGUUUGGAUUGCAGGAUUCUAAAUGUUAGAAAAGUAGUCAGCAUAUUGACCUGAAGUAUAAGGAUAAAUAUGUGUUUCUACUUUAGUAGGGUAACUGAUUGUCUUUCAUAUUCUUUGGAUAGCUCCUGACCCAAGCAUCUGUCUAAUGGUUACUUCUCAUUUGCUUUCUUUGACUUAAAAGACUUAAUACAAAUAUUUCAAGUUCUUGUAUAUUUGGGACUAUAUGGAAUUAUAAUUUUAUUGCUAAUCACCAUCCUGGUUUUGUUGCAAUCUGUUUAGUGAACCCCUAUAGUCCAGGGUAUUAAUGUUUGGAGUCACAAAAUUGGUCCAGUGGUACCUUACAUGUGGCUUAACCUAAUAAUUGUUUAAUAAUCAUAAUCUUAAGGCCAGUGAAUUUAGUUCAGUAAAGAAUCAGGUUCAAAUAUUUUUCCUUUUAGAAAAUUGAUUAUGUUGGUUGUUUUGUUUGUUUUU
rnacentral:lncRNA from 1 species